UAACGAAUAUUCCGCAAUGGGCGAAAGCCUGACGGAGCAAUGCCGCGUGUGGGAUGAAGCGGUUUCGCCGUGUAAACCACUGUCAGGAGAUAGAAAAGCUGAUCAUCUCCAGAGGAAGGGGCGACUAACUCUGUGCCAGCAGUCGCGGUAAUACAGAGGCCCCAAGCGUUAGUCGGAAUCACUGGGCUUAAAGGGUGCGUAGGCGGAUGUGUAAGUGUCUUGUGAAAGCCCCGGGCUCAACCCGGGAACCGCAGGGCAUACUGCAUGUCUUGAGGAAACUAGAGGCCGGUAGAACGAUCGGUGGAGCGGUGGAAUGCGUAGAGAUCGAUCGGAAUGCCAAUGGUGAAGACAGCCGGCUGGGGUUUUCCUGACGCUGAGGCACGAAAGCGUGGGGAUCAAA
rnacentral:rRNA from 1 species